rnacentral:rRNA from 1 species
UACGGAGGGUGCAAGCGUUAUCCGGAUUCACUGGGUUUAAAGGGUGCGUAGGUGGGCAGGUAAGUCAGUGGUGAAAUCUCCGGGCUUAACCCGGAAACUGCCAUUGAUACUAUCUGUCUUGAAUACCCUGGAGGUGAGCGGAAUAUGUCAUGUAGCGGUGAAAUGCUUAGAUAUGACAUAGAACACCCAUUGCGAAGGCAGCUCACUACACGAAUAUUGACUCUGAGGCACGAAAGCGUGGGGAUCAAACAGG